GAUGAACGCUAGCUACAGGCUUAACACAUGCAAGUCGAGGGGUAGCAGGGUAGCAAUACCGCUGACGACCGGCGCACGGGUGAGUAACACGUAUCCAACCUUCCCAUAACUCGGGGAUAGCCGUUCGAAAGAAAGAUUAAUACCCGAUAGUACUUAUAUCAGGCAUCCUACAUAAGUUAAAGAUUUAUUGGUUAUGGAUGGGGAUGUGUUCCAUUAGAUAGUUGGUGAGGUAACGGCUCACCAAGUCUUCGAUUGAUAGGGGUUCUGAGAGGAAGGUCCCCCACAUGGGUACUGAGACACGGACCAAACUCCUACGGGAGGCAGCAGUGAGGAAUAUUGGUCAAUGGGCGAGAGCCUGAACCAGCCAAGUAGCGUGAAGGAUGAAGGUCCUAUGGAUUGUAAACUUCUUUUAUAGUAGAAUAAAGUGAUCCACGUGUGGAUUUUUGUAUGUAUACUAUGAAUAAGGAUCGGCUAACUCCGUGCCAGCAGCCGCAGUAAGAC
rnacentral:rRNA from 1 species